rnacentral:lncRNA from 1 species
CUAAAAAAAUAUUAAUAGAGGUUGUUUAUGGCUGACCCUUAGUACUGCAUAUUCUUCACAACAAAGCCCUUUACUUGCCCAUCUGUAAAAACAAAAAUGAAUUACAUUUAUGAAAGGAAAAGCGAGCAAGAUAAAUUUAUUUUCAGUUAUUUAAGCAUGCUAUUAUUAGUUAUUCACUAAGUUGAAAUAGUAAGAAAACACUAAAACUUGAUAGAAAAUUAAAAACAUGAAUAUAACAGAAGUUUUACUUCUAAUAUUAUGACUGAAGAGACUAUUUUACACAAAAUUUUACAUGAAGCCUAUAAAAAUACUCUGUGAAGAUGUAACACUAUCAUUCUAUAAAAGUAAUACCUUUUACACCUAAGUGGAUGACGUGUUCAAGUGCAAAGUGACACCGUCUGCUUGUGGUCCUGCAGGAAAGAAAACCACAUAAAAUAACUAACCUUACAUUCAGAAAUAUUA